GUUAGCAGCCAUAUCACCCUGCAACUCACAACUGGCAACCCACUGAAGCUAAGCACGUGUGAGCCUGGUCAGUACCUGGAUGGGAGACCUCCUGGGAAAAACUAAGGUUGCUGCUGGAA
ensembl:rRNA 5S_rRNA 5S ribosomal RNA